CGGUCCCCGGUUAUAAGUUCUCGUUGACCACGACCUAUAGGAACCAGACUAUCUACCGCUUCUAAACUUGUUUGCAUAGGCUCGUGCACUGAUUUACGUUCAAUAAUCCCAGGGGCUUUCACUUCAACAUGUCGUCGCUCGUGAUCGCUUAGAGACCCCUUCCAUCAAUAGGUACUCCCAAGCCAUCGACCACACGACCUAGCAUAGCCUUUUCCGCAGGAACAUCCGCAAUAGAUCUAGUGCUCUUGACAAGAUCUCCUUCUUUAAUAGCAGUAUCACUACCAAAGACAACAAUCCCGACAUUCUCAUUCUCAAGAUUCAAGGCUAGUCUUUUCAUACCACUGGCAAAUUCAACCAUUUCCCCAGCUUAAAUCUCGUUCAAUCCAUAAACACGUGCAAUCCCAUCCCGAACUGAGAUCACUUGACCUUUAUAUAUAUUCUACUAUAUGAUAAAUGCCAGUAAGCACACAGCUCCUCAACAUGUCUGUGUCAUCGAAAAGGGUAUUACAAUCUUUCCAAUUACACAACUUUGCCUGCCACGCGUAGCCCAAAUCUUUUACAGCUAUUACCUCGCUGCUUCCUCUUCCUCUUGUCAACUGCCGCAUUCAUCAUCUCUGUUGAAAUUGUUUACCUUCUUCGCACCUCUUGAUAGUUCGGCUUGUGCAAAGCGCUUUGCUUCUCUCUGCCUAUGUAACUGUGAGUUCUAUGUUUCCUCUUCGUGGUUUGUUGUUUACUGUCUUGCUUGUAUGCAUUUUAUGUUUUUUCUUGCCCUGUUAAUAAUUAGCUUUAGCCGCUAAAUGUUCAUCAAAAUUCCUCAUUGAACCUUAUAUGAAAUUUUGUAUAGCUUAGGAAAUUUUUUUUAUAAAGUACACCUGCUGAUUUUACCGUUUGUUGAAUAUCAUAACCACAUUUUCCCGCAACAGAGAGUUUCUCAACGGCCAGAAACUAUGAUUAGUCAGCCGAGAAUUUGUAAUAAACUAAACUCCAAUAUUGGUUCCUUGGAAGAGCAAAACCAAGAAGUCCUGCAGCUUGUUGUUCAUAACUCUUAGUGCUAAUCUAUUUAUGUAUCGACAAAGAAAACAAGUGUGUAAAGCUAAUUAGAAAAAUUUACUAACUUUUAAUUAAUAGCGAAAGAAUCUCAUUCACACAGUUGGACCCUUGAUGGUUUAGCUAAACUAUUCUGCUCGCUGUGACUUUGUUGCGUUCCUCUUCCGCCUUCAACUUCCCAGGCCACCAGAAUUCUUCUUCUUAAUUAACAUACCCAUUGUAGCUGAGAACUAAUGAAUGAAAAUGAACCAUGAAUAAUGGCAACUGAUAAUGUGCUAAAUGGUUAGGUGUUGCUGGAAUUGAAAUUGGUAUAUAACAAUCAGGUGGCAUCAUAUUGAAUAAUUAACAAAUAGUUAACAUAAAUAUUUCAUACUGAAAUAGAUGUGCUCUUAUAUGCACAUAUACACUUUCCUCUAAUAAGAUUAUAAGAAAGGAUCUUUUGUAACAGUUAAUAUCUGUGAUUCACAUGUUAUUUAUACUACCUAUAACAGAAUUUCAUUGUUCGGUAAUGUACAUGUAGUCUUCUCAUGGUAGUGUACUCUUCAACUAUUCGCAUAUACUAUUCAAAAAUGUCAAGGGGUGUGUCGAAUUUGUCAAAAAUAGUGUAUUUUUGGAGAAACCGACACGGGUGCGACAUCGAAAGUGAAGAGUCCACGCAACUUAGAUGUCCACUUCUUAAUUAGAUGCCUAUACAUUCUAUUACUAUGAUAUGUUGUUGGCCUUCGAAAAUUCGAUUUAUUUUACUGCUGUAAACAUGGAAACACACAAUACAGUCUCAAAUUUGUUCUACUUAACAAACAAGGAAGGUUACUUCUUCACUCUUCUUGUUCUAUAUACUUAGUUAUGACAUCCAAAGCUCACGUUUUCCGUUCCAUGAUGUGCUCAAAUUCAUUUUCCUGUUUUUACACUUGAUUACAAUUGGAUGUACGUACUAGAGUGUGCGUCAGUGACUUUUUGUGUUCAGUGCCCAUUGUUGUUAAUUUACGUGAUUCAUAAUAUACAUUUAGUAUGUUAACACUCAAUUUAUUUGCAAAGUUUUAGAGGCAUGACACAAACAUCAAGUUAUGGAACUAAUAGUUUAGGUUGGGUUGUAAGGCGGGAUGAUCAUGAUAAACGAGCCUCUCAGUAAAAUGGCUAUUGAGAUUCAAUGUUGAGGACACUGCUUUAUGGAGAAAGGUUAUCACAUCAAAGCAUGGGCAAUCUAAUGAAUGAGUUUCGUUGUAUUAGGACAUUUCUUCUAUAGUAAGUCAUCAUUGAAGGAUGUAAAAGUUACCGAGAACAAGUUGCCACUGAAGAUUUCAAUUCGAAAGUUAAUUGUCUAGAGAUGUUUACAAUUUUCUUCUACGCAGUUGCUACAAAUGAAUUUGACAAGUCUGACUUUUUCCAUGAUCUUCUGCAGAUAUAUACAAUCACCAGAUAUCAUGAAGACUCAAGGAAAAGAAAAGAGAGAAAUACAUAAACCAUAGACCGACUCAACCUAAUCAAUACCAACUUUACACUUCUUGUUGCAUUCUAACGAAGAUCAGAUUUUUCCUGUAUAUAUGUUCAAAGGGAAAAAUUGAAGUUA